CCCGCCGGCGACCGGCGCACGGGUGAGUAACACGUAUGAAACCUGCCCGUAGCAGGGGGAUAAGCGGAAGAAAUUCCGUCUAAUACCGCGUAACAACCCAUGGAGGCAUCUCUGUGGGUUUAAAGGAAGCGAUUCCGGCUACGGAUGGUCACGCGUCGCAUUAGCUUGUUGGCGGGGUAACGGCCCACCAAGGCGACGAUGCGUAGGGGUUCUGAGAGGAAGGUCCCCCACACUGGUACUGAGACACGGACCAGACUCCUACGGAAGGCAGCAG
rnacentral:rRNA from 1 species